UACGUAGGGUGCGAGCGUUUGUCCGGAAUUAUUGGGCGUAAAGAGCUUGUAGGCGGUUUGUCGCGUCUGCUGUGAAAAUCCGGGGCUCAACCCCGGACUUGCAGUGGGUACGGGCAGACUAGAGUGUGGUAGGGGAGAUUGGAAUUCCUGGUGUAGCGGUGGAAUGCGCAGAUAUCAGGAGGAACACCGAUGGCGAAGGCAGAUCUCUGGGCCGUAACUGACGCUGAGGAGCGAAAACGAGGCAUGG
rnacentral:rRNA from 1 species